CCAACACUUAGGCACGGCCUUUGCCAAAUUUGCCUCAACUUAUUCCCCUGUCUACCUGACCCACCUAACUCACCUCUCAAACGACGCAGUUCAGCCCAGGAACGACGUUGUUGCCCCUUGCCCUCACCUACUAAAACACCCCAUCUCCCAAUCCCAUAUGAUUAACAGACCCCCUCCCUCAAAAGAAAAACCCUAGCCGCCCCAUCUCUCACCUCUAUUCAUUCUCAUCUGCUAACACACAAAAAUUCCCCUAGACCCUUCUCACACAGGAUUUUGACCUUACUUUCACUCUCACACACGCAUAACUAACAGUCCAAAUUGCUAAAACAAAAGUUUUUGAAUUGAAAUUGAAGCUCAGAUUUGAAAUAGGAAAAAUGUCAAAAACCAAAGAUAGAAAACAAGAGGAAACGACAUAAAAGAGGGAUUUCUAUAGCUGUGGAAUUGCAGUUUAUUUGCUCUCAUAUUCUUGGUUCUAAUAGGUGAAAAUCCUCGCGGUUUACUUCUGAUUAUUGGCUAAGCUCCACCCCAUUCCCUUCCCCCACUAUUCUGUUGAAGUCAGUCAUUUUUCUUUGGCCAUCAAGGUACUGUUUUCUCCAAUAUAGAUAUGCUAUUUUAAAUGAGAUUUAUGUUGACAUUAUUAGGGAUACUUUAUUGUUUAAAGUUCAUAUCAAGCUUUCCCUUGUUUAAACCUUUUCAAAAUUUAGACUCUUAUUGUGAUUUUGCCUAAAACAGUAUAUGAUUCUUCUGUGGCUUAUCUGUAAACAUUGAUAUUUGUUUGCUCAAAUUGCUUUUGUUGUUACUGUAGUUGAUUCGUGUGGUUUGAAGUGCAUUGAAUUGACUUUACUAUAGUCAGAUCUAAUAUGCCAUAUUACAAGGUUGGCUGAAUAAUUUGAUGGAAUUAAACCUCCAUUGCUAAGUUCGUUUUAAAACUAAUAUGCAUUAGAUCAAAAAAUGGAAUUCGGAGUAGGGGACUUCAAAGUUAGUUAUUAUUGAUUGAUAUAGUGGUUGUAUAUGUGGCUUAUCUUGUUUUUGGUUAAUACAUCAGAUUUUGUUUUAUAUAGUCAUUGUAGUCUUUAUGCUAAUAUAAAUAUCAUGUUGUCCUGGUAUAUCGUGUUAAAAGUAUAAAUAUAGAAUAUGGAAACAGUAGGAAUAGAGUAAAUCUGGAUAUAGACUGUUGAGGCAAUAAUCGGGCCACUGAAGUUGUGUAUUUGCAAAUGAAUGCUUGGGUCGAGUUAAUUCAGACUGACUUGCUCCAGGAUAAAGUCAUUGAACUGCUCCAUAUUACUUUUACGCUAAGAAGAAUUGGCAAUUCAACAAGAUUGGAUUUAGUAGUUUGUAAGUAUUUGUUUCCUUUAGUUUAUUGUAACUACUAGUAUUACUUAGUUCCUACUUUAUUAAAUUAAGUGAGUUAUAGCCUAUAUAUAUAUAUAUAAAGAGGGAAUGGAAGAAAUGACUUGGCACCUCUCCUAGACUAAGAUUACCAUUUAUCUUUUUUCUCAUUUAUUUGACAUUUUUUCUCAUUUCCCACUUAUUUUCCCUUACAAUUAAGUAGUACUCUUAUCCUUUUGUACCGUUUCUAAACAAGUAACUGAACAUAUUCUUUAUGUUACAACUUUUCCAAGCCGUUUUCUUUUGAUAAAACAAAUUUGUCCAAAAGAAUUUAAUAUUUUAGUCUUUCUUUGCAUGCCUAUUCCAUGUUAAUUAAAGAUCAGUGACAAACUCUUUACCUCCUAUAUAGGUCAAAAGCUGUCUCAAGAAGAUUUAACAUGAAGCGGUAUUACCAAAAGUAAUGUGGUCGAGGUCGACUAGUAAACAGUGGGCUCAUGGCCGAGGAGUCAAUGACGGCCGAGGUCAAGUAUCAAGAGCAGUAGUAACGGCUAGUUUUGUGAUAGGAUCUUUAGGAGAAUAUUCCAUUGAAUAUUUUCUAUGCUUGUACUUUUAGGGUUGACUAGGGGUAUGUCCCAUAUGAAAAGAAAAAGAGAUAAGGAGAAAGGCAUGUAAUAUUGAUUUUGAUAAGAACACUGUUGAGAAGAAGACUCUCUCUCUCUCUCUAAAAAAGAUACAAACAUAACCUUUCUAAUAAGAUUCUCCCUUCCAUUAUUCCAUAAUUUUCCAUCAGAUCCGUGAAUAGUUCUGAUAUUCUAGGAUUUGUCUAUCUCUCAUCAUUGUCAGAUGGACGAAUCACCCACCUCAUUUAAUAUUGAGUGAAUCUUCC
rnacentral:lncRNA from 1 species